UACCCGACAGAAAGUGUUAUUCUUAUUUGUCUCAACAGUUGUAUUGCACAUGUAACUCAGCAGAUGGCACCUGUUAGUAUGAAUCCAAUGAUCCGGGCAUUACUUAAGUUAUAUGUUAUUCUUAUAUGUUAGUAUGAAUCCAAUGAUCCAGAUAACGGUUCCAUCUUUGUUUCAGCAGAUGGCACCUGCACCAUGGUUUCCACCAAUACCACCUGUAACUUGCAGUUUUUGGAAUGCCACAAAUGUGCAAGGUUUCCUAAAAGAACUCCAUAACACUCUUGAUCUUGAAGAAGCAAUGUGAGUAUAUAAUAAUCAUUUCUAAAGCGAACUGUUCUACUUUUAGUGUGAUAGAUCUUUAAGAUUUAGGGUUUCUUGUAGGGAGAAACAGUUGGAGAUGUUUAUUGCAAUGAAAGGUAUAUUACUGGUGCUAAUUUUUUAUUUUAUUAUCUGAUGUUUAGCAUUGCUAACAGUUAUCAAGUCCCAUUCAAUCUAAACUUUUCAACUCAAGCAUGAGCCUAAUAUAUUUCAUAUAAGGGUUGUUCAAUAUAAAAUUCCAGACCAUGUUCACUUAUCUGAAGACUGUAGACAUCUUCUUUCUCGUAUAUUCGUUGCCAAUCCAUCCAAAAGGAUCACCCUAAAGGAAAUUAAAAGUCAUCUGUGAAUUCUAAAGAACUUACGGUGAGAACUAAUAGAAUCCACAAAGGUUGCGUAUUACAGGAAGGAAAACCCGACGUUUUCUAAAAACCACCCGUGUUUGCACACGGGUCAUACCGCUAGUACUAAUAAAAGAAUGAAGUUAAUGCCAAAUGGCAUUCUCUCAUUUCAUUUACUUGUAUCAAAUUCCAUGUGGCAUUCUCUUAUUUAAUUUAUUUAUAUAUUAGAUUAAUACUAUAAAUGUAUUAAAUUAAUCUCUAAAACUAUUAAUAUAUAAUAUUGUAGGAUUGUGUUAGACUCGAACGAGUCGUUCAGAGGAGUUUUUGUCAAUUACAGGUGCGGAAAACAAGUAAUCAACGUAGAAACAGCUUGCAAAUCAC